GUGUUCUACUGGGUACCAUCUAGAACAUGGUACUGAAUGCAUCAAAACACACAGAUGCUCUGAACCACUUCAGUCUUGCAACAAUAACAGCAAAUGUAUUGCAAAAGAGCAAAUUUGUAACGGUAUCACUGAUUGCCCUGAUGGAUCNGAUGAAAAAAGCUGCAACUAUGCAUUUAAGAAGAUACCCCAGCCCACCAGUACAGUGCCACCACUGCUUCAUACCACAUCCUUUCACGGUAGGAAAAAGACGGUAGCAUCUGCCAUAGCAUUUGGAAAUAAGCAUGCCACAAGAACUGCAUAUGUAAAACCAGAAGUAAGGAAAUCCAAAAGCACCCCUCCCAAUGAAGGUCAAGCAGCCACAUUCUNUGUGACCCGUAAAUGGGAAAAACCUUCCCUGGUGCAAGGAGCUGUGAAGAACGAUCUGCAGUUGCAGCCUUGCAAUCGCAAAACUUGCAACAUGAGAGGAGACUGCAUUGUUGUUGGCGACAGAGCAAAGUGCAACUGUAUGAAGGGCUACAGCGGAGACUACUGCCAAGAAGAGGAAGGAAGGGCUCAUGUUGCUGUUCUGAGCAUCAUCUCAAUCCUGCUCAUUACAAUGGCAGCUGCAGGGAUCCUGAUAUACUUGAGGAAGCAACCAGUUCGCCAAAGGUCUUCUAGUACAGAAUCCUCAAGAACGCUGACCAUCUACCCAAAGGGUUGUGAACGAGAAGACAACUUUGUUGAAGAUGAAACCUGUAUUAAUGCUGCUUAUGAUCCUGGACAGGAACUAUCCACACCCCUGAAGAUGGGC
rnacentral:lncRNA from 1 species